GUUGCAUUCUGGAAUCCUAAAGCGGUCAGAUAUGGACUCACCGGGAGAACUCCUGCUGCGACUGCUUGCAGCUCACCGGGCGUACUUCCUUGCCGGCGUUGAUAAGGCAUGCAACUCACCAUGAACUCCAAUCCAUCAAUGUCAAAGUUGUCCUCCUCUGUGGCACCACCGGGUAGUGGAAUGGAUAGAAGAUAGCCCAGCUGUCAAGUGAUGAACAGAAAGAGGACACAUGAUUAUUCAAUUCCUCAACCGCAACAGCAGCAGCUGGAAGACAGGUUUGCUACUGAUGUAUGGAAUGAAGGGUGGACACUUCGAGCACACUGCCCGUCGUUGGUAGUAUUCAGUUGGAGAGAACAGCCUAAAUGCUACGUCUCGGUGCUUGGUACACGCGUUGCUGCUGUGUUCAUUCUGUUGCACUCACCUGCGGCAGGUAGAUCACACUGCACUCUGUGAUGCUACUGUCAAGCUGUGCAAGCUCUUGCUCAGCUACCACUGUCAUGAAGUCUGGUAGGCCAUUGUACGUGUUCUUCUCUGAAACAAACAGAUACACACAGAAAGUCAGAAACCUCUUCGAUUAUUUUCUAGCCAAUUUUAGAUUUCUUGUCAGUGUACAUGGUGGAGAAUACUGCAAUGCUGUUCAAUGAAAUCCGAUCAUGUGAGUCAAGUUUGA